rnacentral:misc_RNA from 1 species
UACGAAGGGGGCUAGCGUUGUUCGGAAUUACUGGGCGUAAAGCGCACGUAGGCGGACUAUUAAGUCAGGGGUGAAAUCCCGGGGCUCAACCCCGGAACUGCCUUUGAUACUGGUAGUCUAGAGUCCGGAAGAGGUGAGUGGAAUUCCGAGUGUAGAGGUGAAAUUCGUAGAUAUUCGGAGGAACACCAGUGGCGAAGGCGGCUCACUGGUCCGGAACUGACGCUGAGGUGCGAAAGCGUGGGGAGCAAACAGG